GAGACAAGGCGUGGACGACUAGUGAAUAUAGAAAGUUCUGACGUGCAGGACUUUAUAAAACGUAAACCAAUAGGUUAUUAUUGGAUUGGCGGAUAUGACAUCAGUAAAGAAAACAAAUCUACCAGGAUGGGCGCUGAACCUGUGAAGUCCAAGAGAGCCAGCGAUGACGACAAAGAAGAGUGUUUGGGAUAAACGUGCAGUUGACCAAGGUGUAUAACUACAACUGUGGAGAGACAUCACGAUGGAUCUGUGAGUCCGCUGCGUUUCCUCUUCGUAUUUAAACUUCUAUCAAGAGUUCCAGUCACCUGCCAGAGCCGCUGUCUUCUGUAAUCGUAAGGAUCACUUCAUCAGUAAAUCACAGAGCUGCUAGUCUGAGCCGAGUCCAGACGU